GAUGAACGCUGGCGGCGUGCCUAAUACAUGCAAGUCGAGCGAACAGAUGAGGAGCUUGCUCCUCUGACGUUAGCGGCGGACGGGUGAGUAACACGUGGAUAACCUACCUAUAAGACUGGGAUAACUUCGGGAAACCGGAGCUAAUACCGGAUAAUAUAUUGAACCGCAUGGUUCAAUAGUGAAAGACGGUUUUGCUGUCACUUAUAGAUGGAUCCGCGCCGCAUUAGCUAGUUGGUAAGGUAACGGCUUACCAAGGCAACGAUGCGUAGCCGACCUGAGAGCGUGAUCGGCCACACGGGAACUGAGACACGGUCCAGACUCCUACGGGAGGCAGCAGUAGGGAAUCUUACGCAAUGGGCGAAAGCCUGACGGAGCAACGCCGCGUGAGUGAUGAAGGUCUUCGGAUCGUAAAACUCUGUUAUUAGGGAAGAACAAAUGUGUAAGUAACUAUGCGCGUCUUGACGGUACCUAAUCAGAAAGCCACGGCUAACUACGUG
rnacentral:rRNA from 1 species